AGUGAACGCUGGCGGUAGGCCUAACACACGCAAGUCGAACGGCAGCACAGUAAGAGCUUGCUCUUACGGGUGGCGAGUGGCGGACGGGUGAGGAAUACAUCGGAAUCUACUUUUUCGUGGGGGAUAACGUAGGGAAACUUACGCUAAUACCGCAUACGACCUACGGGUGAAAGCAGGGGAUCUUCGGACCUUGCGCGAUUGAAUGAGCCGAUGUCGGAUUAGCUAGUUGGCGGGGUAAAGGCCCACCAAGGCGACGAUCCGUAGCUGGUCUGAGAGGAUGAUCAGCCACACUGGAACUGAGACACGGUCCAGACUCCUACGGGAGGCAGCAGUGGGGAAUAUUGGACAAUGGGCGCAAGCCUGAUCCAGCCAUACCGCGUGGGUGAAGAAGGCCUUCGGGUUGUAAAGCCCUUUUGUUGGGAAAGAAAAGCAGCAGGUUAAUACCCCGCUGUUCUGGCGGUACCCAAAGAAUAAGCACCGGCUAACUUCGUG
rnacentral:rRNA from 1 species